rnacentral:rRNA from 1 species
AUUGAACGCUGGCGGCAUGCUUUACACAUGCAAGUCGAACGGCAGCGCGGGCUUCGGCCCGGCGGCGAGUGGCGAACGGGUGAGUAAUGCAUCGGAACGUGCCCAGUAGUGGGGGAUAGCCCGGCGAAAGCCGGAUUAAUACCGCAUACGACCUGAGGGUGAAAGCGGGGGACCGAAAGGCCUCGCGCUAUUGGAGCGGCCGAUGUCGGAUUAGCUAGUUGGUGGGGUAAAGGCUUACUAAGGCGACGAUCCGUAGCUGGUCUGAGAGGACGACCAGCCACACUGGGACUGAGACACGGCCCAGACUCCUACGGGAGGCAGCAGUGGGGAAUUUUGGACAAUGGGGGCAACCCUGAUCCAGCCAUGCCGCGUGCGGGAAGAAGGCCUUCGGGUUGUAAACCGCUUUUGUUCGGGAAGAAAUCCUCUGGGCUAAUACCCCGGGGGGAUGACGGUACCGGAAGAAUAAGCACCGGCUAACUACGUG